rnacentral:rRNA from 1 species
AGGUGUAACGUCACGCAUCAGGCCU